GACGAACCGUGCGAACGUUGUUCGGAAUCACUGGGCUUAAAGGGCGCGUAGGCGGGCAGGCAAGUCAGGGGUGAAAUCCCACGGCUCAACCGUGGAAGUGCCUUUGAUACUGCCAGUCUUGAGGGAGGUAGGGGCGUGCGGAACUUCCGGUGGAGCGGUGAAAUGCGUAGAUAUCGGAAGGAACACCGGUGGCGAAAGCGGCGCGCUGGACCUCUACUGACGCUGAGGCGCGAAAGCCAGGGGAGCAAACGGG
rnacentral:rRNA from 1 species